rnacentral:rRNA from 1 species
GGCGAACGCUGGCGGCGUGCUUAACACAUGCAAGUCGAACGGAAAGGCCCUGCUUUUGUGGGGUGCUCGAGUGGCGAACGGGUGAGUAACACGUGAGUAACCUGCCCUUGACUUUGGGAUAACUUCAGGAAACUGGGGCUAAUACCGGAUAGGAGCUCCUGCUGCAUGGUGGGGGUUGGAAAGUUUCGGCGGUUGGGGAUGGACUCGCGGCUUAUCAGCUUGUUGGUGGGGUAGUGGCUUACCAAGGCUUUGACGGGUAGCCGGCCUGAGAGGGUGACCGGCCACAUUGGGACUGAGAUACGGCCCAGACCCCUACGGGAGGCAGCAGUGGGGAAUAUUGCACAAUGGGCGGAAGCCUGAUGCAGCAACGCCGCGUGCGGGAUGACGGCCUUCGGGUUGUAAACCGCUUUCGCCUGUGACGAAGCGUGAGUGACGGUAAUGGGUAAAGAAGCACCGGCUAACUACGUG